AUGGAGAACAUAGAAGUUUAUGUUGGAGUCUUUGAAGCCAACCAAAGUGCAAACUUGUCCACAGAGAGAGCAACAAUUUACGGUUAUUUAGAGAGAGAGAUGGCUGCUCCUGGUGUAUCAUUUUUGCUGCAAAAAUUGGAUAAACUGCUUGUAGAUGAAGCGCAGCUCCUAUCAGCAGUGAAGGAUGAUAUUCAGUGGAUCAAAGAUGCACUCAAAGGUAUGAAAAUGUUCCUAAAGAAUGCUGAUAAGAAAACAGAGACAAAUGAAGCAGUGGACACUUGGGUCGGACAAGUGCGAGAUCUGGCCUAUUAUGCCGAGGAUGUUCUCGAUAAAUUCAUUGAAAUUGCGAGAUUACAACGGAGGGAAUUCAUACGCCGUCUGAUGUCACCUGCUUCUUUUAUCAAGGAGCAAUACAUCAAGCAUGAGGUUGCAACUAAGAUAAAGCGUAUUAGAGCUCGUGCUGAUGAUAUUGCCAAGAGGAAGGAAAGGCUCAACCUUCAAAUGGAAGGAGAUGGAGGGAGCUCUUCAGAUGCCUUAAUUGCGAGAAGGGCAUAUCCACAAGUGAUUUCCUCUUUGCUGGAGAUGCAGACAUUACAUCAUAGAGGAGAGACAUCUGGAACAAAAGAUAUUGAGUAUUUACAUGACAAGAGGUAUCUGGUAGUGUUAGAUGAUGUGUGGAGUGAAAUUUUGUGGGAAGGGGUGGAAAAUGCAUUUCCUGAUUUACACAAUGGAAGCAGAUUUAUCAUUACAACUCGAAUGGCAGAAGUCACUUCACCAAUGUAUGUACUAAGUGCAGUAUACCAGCUCGAACGGCUAUCGAAAGAAGAGGCAUGGUCCCUCUUCUGCAAGAACGUGUUUUGGCGGGAAAACACAAACUCAUGCCCUUCAGAGUUAGAGGAGGUAGGGAGGCUUAUUGUCGAGGAAUGUGAUGGUCUCCCCCUCACAAUUGUUGCAAUAGGAAGCACGAUGUCUAAAACACCCAAAACAAUGCAUAGCUGGGAAAAGAUACGCCGUAGUCUUGCGUGGGAGUUGAACAAGAAUAAAGGUGUGAGGGGUGUUCUUACACUGAGUUAUAGGGACUUGUCGCCUCUUUAAAAAUAUUGUUUUUUGUAUUAUUGUUUGUUCUCAGAAGACUAUAAGAUCUCCCGCUCAAAAUUGAUUAGGCUAUGGGUUGCAGAGGGAUUCAUUAAAAGAAGGGGAGGAUUAACAGAGAUAGAAGUAGCAAAGGAUUACAUUAAAGAGUUGUUGGAUCGGAGCUUGAUACAAGUGGCAAAGACUGGCUUCACUGGGCAGGCCAAAGUAAUUCGAGUACACCAUGUAAUACGGAAGCUUGGUCUUUCUAUAUCAGAAAAAGAGAUUUUUGGAACAUUUUGUGAUGGCCAAAACAACCAAUUUUCUGAUAGAACUCGACUCAUCUCUGUCCAAAAUGCUUCAAGUUUCCCUAUUGAAAACAAAUUGUCUCGACUUCGAACAUUUCUUAUGUUUGGUGCAGUAGAGUGGUCACCAUCAUAUUUGCCUCAAUUAUUAUCUUACUUAAGAUAUUUGAGGGUUUUGAACCUAAAAGGGAUUCAUGUUGAGAGUCUGUCAAAUGAAGUGGGACACUUGGUUCAUCUAAGGUAUCUUGGACUAAGAGAUACAGGGGUCAAGAAGCUCCCCAAGUCCUUGGAGAACUUGAGAAGCUUGCAAACCCUUGACUUGGAGGGAUUUGAGGGAGAACUAUCACAUGGAAUCACAAAAUUAAAAGCUUUGACAUAUCUAAAUGUAUCACAAUUUUCUGUUGAAGGAAUUCCCAAAGGGCUGAGAUUUCCAAACGGACUGGGGGAUUGAACAAACCUCCAAACCUUGACAUACAUACAAGCUGAUUCAAAUAUUAUUAAAGACUUGCGUAACCUUAUACAUAUCCGAAAAUUAUAUAUUCAGUUAGAGAGAAGUGAAAAUGGAGAAGAAUUGUGGGGCAAACUACCCAAAUGCACUGCUUCUCUCCUCUGCCUCAAUGGAUUAGACUUGGCCUACUGCAAACUAACUGAAGACCCAUUUGCGAUCCUUCAAACAUUACCCAAUCUCAUGUACCUCAAUUUAAAUGGAGCAUCCUAUGUGGGUAAGAAAUUAGGCAAAUGCAGAGCAAGGGGCUUCCCCAAACUUCAAUGGCUCAAUCUCUAUAAUUUGAAUGAACUCAGAAAAUGGGGAAACGUGGAGGAGGGAGCCAUGCCAUGCCUACGCCGAUUAUUUGUUUGGAAUUGCAGAAAAUUGAGGCGGUUGCCUCAAGGCUUCCAAUACUUCACCACCCUUCAACAAUUGAAUCUCUUUCUUAUGUCCGAUGAGUUUGUGAGUCGGGCAAAGAGGGAUUGGCCCCCUUAUUAA